GGGUUGUGAGGUUAAGCGACUAAGCGUACACGGUGGAUGCCCUGGCAGUCAGAGGCGAUGAAGGACGUGCUAAUCUGCGAUAAGCGUCGGUAAGGUGAUAUGAACCGUUAUAACCGGCGAUUUCCGAAUGGGGAAACCCAGUGUGUUUCGACACACUAUCAUUAACUGAAUCCAUAGGUUAAUGAGGCGAACCGGGGGAACUGAAACAUCUAAGUACCCCGAGGAAAAGAAAUCAACCGAGAUUCCCCCAGUAGCGGCGAGCGAACGGGGAGGAGCCCAGAGUCUGAAUCAGUGUGUGUGUUAGUGGAAGCGUCUGGAAAGGCGCGCGAUACAGGGUGACAGCCCCGUACACAAAAAUGCACAUAUUGUGAGCUCGAUGAGUAGGGCGGGACACGUGGUAUCCUGUCUGAAUAUGGGGGGACCAUCCUCCAAGGCUAAAUACUCCUGACUGACCGAUAGUGAACCAGUACCGUGAGGGAAAGGCGAAAAGAACCCCGGCGAGGGGAGUGAAAAAGAACCUGAAACCGUGUACGUACAAGCAGUGGGAGCCUCUUUUAUGGGGUGACUGCGUACCUUUUGUAUAAUGGGUCAGCGACUUAUAUUCUGUAGCAAGGUUAACCGAAUAGGGGAGCCGAAGGGAAACCGAGUCUUAACUGGGCGUUAAGUUGCAGGGUAUAGACCCGAAACCCGGUGAUCUAGCCAUGGGCAGGUUGAAGGUUGGGUAACACUAACUGGAGGACCGAACCGACUAAUGUUGAAAAAUUAGCGGAUGACUUGUGGCUGGGGGUGAAAGGCCAAUCAAACCGGGAGAUAGCUGGUUCUCCCCGAAAGCUAUUUAGGUAGCGCCUCGUGAAUUCAUCUCCGGGGGUAGAGCACUGUUUCGGCAAGGGGGUCAUCCCGACUUACCAACCCGAUGCAAACUGCGAAUACCGGAGAAUGUUAUCACGGGAGACACACGGCGGGUGCUAACGUCCGUCGUGAAGAGGGAAACAACCCAGACCGCCAGCUAAGGUCCCAAAGUCAUGGUUAAGUGGGAAACGAUGUGGGAAGGCCCAGACAGCCAGGAUGUUGGCUUAGAAGCAGCCAUCAUUUAAAGAAAGCGUAAUAGCUCACUGGUCGAGUCGGCCUGCGCGGAAGAUGUAACGGGGCUAAACCAUGCACCGAAGCUGCGGCAGCGACGCUUAUGCGUUGUUGGGUAGGGGAGCGUUCUGUAAGCCUGUGAAGGUGUGCUGUGAGGCAUGCUGGAGGUAUCAGAAGUGCGAAUGCUGACAUAAGUAACGAUAAAGCGGGUGAAAAGCCCGCUCGCCGGAAGACCAAGGGUUCCUGUCCAACGUUAAUCGGGGCAGGGUGAGUCGACCCCUAAGGCGAGGCCGAAAGGCGUAGUCGAUGGGAAACAGGUUAAUAUUCCUGUACUUGGUGUUACUGCGAAGGGGGGACGGAGAAGGCUAUGUUGGCCGGGCGACGGUUGUCCCGGUUUAAGCGUGUAGGCUGGUUUUCCAGGCAAAUCCGGAAAAUCAAGGCUGAGGCGUGAUGACGAGGCACUACGGUGCUGAAGCAACAAAUGCCCUGCUUCCAGGAAAAGCCUCUAAGCAUCAGGUAACAUCAAAUCGUACCCCAAACCGACACAGGUGGUCAGGUAGAGAAUACCAAGGCGCUUGAGAGAACUCGGGUGAAGGAACUAGGCAAAAUGGUGCCGUAACUUCGGGAGAAGGCACGCUGAUAUGUAGGUGAAGUCCCUUGCGGAUGGAGCUGAAAUCAGUCGAAGAUACCAGCUGGCUGCAACUGUUUAUUAAAAACACAGCACUGUGCAAACACGAAAGUGGACGUAUACGGUGUGACGCCUGCCCGGUGCCGGAAGGUUAAUUGAUGGGGUCAGCGCAAGCGAAGCUCUUGAUCGAAGCCCCGGUAAACGGCGGCCGUAACUAUAACGGUCCUAAGGUAGCGAAAUUCCUUGUCGGGUAAGUUCCGACCUGCACGAAUGGCGUAAUGAUGGCCAGGCUGUCUCCACCCGAGACUCAGUGAAAUUGAACUCGCUGUGAAGAUGCAGUGUACCCGCGGCAAGACGGAAAGACCCCGUGAACCUUUACUAUAGCUUGACACUGAACAUUGAGCCUUGAUGUGUAGGAUAGGUGGGAGGCUUUGAAGUGUGGACGCCAGUCUGCAUGGAGCCGACCUUGAAAUACCACCCUUUAAUGUUUGAUGUUCUAACGUGGACCCGUGAUCCGGGUUGCGGACAGUGUCUGGUGGGUAGUUUGACUGGGGCGGUCUCCUCCUAAAGAGUAACGGAGGAGCACGAAGGUUGGCUAAUCCUGGUCGGACAUCAGGAGGUUAGUGCAAUGGCAUAAGCCAGCUUGACUGCGAGCGUGACGGCGCGAGCAGGUGCGAAAGCAGGUCAUAGUGAUCCGGUGGUUCUGAAUGGAAGGGCCAUCGCUCAACGGAUAAAAGGUACUCCGGGGAUAACAGGCUGAUACCGCCCAAGAGUUCAUAUCGACGGCGGUGUUUGGCACCUCGAUGUCGGCUCAUCACAUCCUGGGGCUGAAGUAGGUCCCAAGGGUAUGGCUGUUCGCCAUUUAAAGUGGUACGCGAGCUGGGUUUAGAACGUCGUGAGACAGUUCGGUCCCUAUCUGCCGUGGGCGCUGGAGAACUGAGGGGGGCUGCUCCUAGUACGAGAGGACCGGAGUGGACGCAUCACUGGUGUUCGGGUUGUCAUGCCAAUGGCACUGCCCGGUAGCUAAAUGCGGAAGAGAUAAGUGCUGAAAGCAUCUAAGCACGAAACUUGCCCCGAGAUGAGUUCUCCCUGACUCCUUGAGAGUCCUGAAGGAACGUUGAAGACGACGACGUUGAUAGGCCGGGUGUGUAAGCGCAGCGAUGCGUUGAGCUAACCGGUACUAAUGAACCGUGAGGCUUAACCUUACAACGCCGAAG
rnacentral:rRNA from 1 species